UCCUGGUUAGCUCAGUUGGUAGAGCGUUCCACUGGAAAUGGAGAGGUCCGGUUCUGUACACCAGGAC
rnacentral:tRNA from 1 species